GGGCGUGUCGCGUAAAGUAACAAUAAAAUUUUUAAAAAUCAGAUCGCAAAGAUCUCAGUCUCAUUCCAUAUCUUCUCUCCUCUCCUCUCUUCCUUUCCUCCUCGUGAAUCAGAGAUCUCAGCCGGACGUGAUGCCAUCGCCGUCCUCUCCUCACUUCACCGCUGGUUUAUUUGCUUCUGUAAGAUCCGGCCAUCAGAUCUACGCUCAGAUGGAAGAGAGAUGCAGACACUCUCUCGUUCUUGUUUAUCGCCUUCGGCGAUUUCCGGCGCCGACCUACUCGGUGGCCCGUCUUGCCGGUUAUUGUCUACGGAGACUCUCUCGGGGAGACGUUCUUUAGAUCUGUCCGCCAUCGUUUAGAUCUCGUAAGCUCCCUAUUUUUUAUUUUUUAUUUAUUUUUAUUUUUUUAUUCUUCCUCCUCCUCACACAUUUUUAUUGUUGUAAUGUUUUGACGGCCGGCCGGUUUCAAGCACAGGUGGACUGGCCGAUAUGAAGCACAGAGUAAGAAAGGAAGACAAUUAUAUUUGGGAAGAUGGGGAGAAUGAAUGUAAGUCAACUGAGGUGUAUUUAUGCAUGAACUUAAAAUCCAAGGGAGAUUCUAGAUGAAUCUUAAUCACAUACUUAGGUAUCUUGUGGUUGGAAACACACGGUGGCAAUUUCUGAUGUUACAGCUUCUUCUAGUGAGUCCAAUUCUACCAUCUCCAGUGAGAGGAUGUUGCAGAAUCUGCAGAAGCUAAAGAGGAUAGUUCUGAAAUGACUCUCCUUGAUAUGUAUUCUGGUUGUGGUGUUAAUCUGGUUACUAAAUGGGCUGACUGAAUUGAAUCAGUAUGCAUGUGAAAUCUGAGGUUAAACCAUCCAGAGAAAUGUGAGGAAUGAGCCUGCUGAAGAUUUCUUGUCCCUUUUGGAUGUUUGUUAUGGAGAUCCUAAUUGUAAUAAAAAGCCUGGACUAUACUUCAAGUUACAUUUUGAAAUUCCCAUACAUUCGAAGGGCUAUGGUGCAGAUUAUGACACAUGGGAACCUAUAGAGGGCUUGAGUGAUUGUCAACUACAAAUAAAGGAUUUCAUAGUAACUGGAUUUAAAGCAAAACAUUUCACUUUGCCUGGAGGUGUUGAUGUAUAUGUGGGACUCCUUGUCAAGGCAUCAGUGGUUUCAACCGUUUAUGGACAGAACCCUUACAAGAUGCAAAACCAAGCAGCUUAAAGUGUUGACAUGGUUGACUUCUUGAGACCAAGAUUUGUUUUGAGGGAAAAUGUUGUUUUCUUGGGAGAUAUGCUUUUAAGCCUUUAGGGAUGAAUUAUCAACCUCGGCUGGGCAUGAUGGCUGUUGGAGCAUAUGAACUCCCACAAUUUCGCAUGGGUGUCUUCAUGUGGGGUGCCCUUCCAGGAGAGAAAUUGCCACAAUAUCCAUUGCCAACACAUAAUGUUGUUGUGAGAGGUGUUAUUCCUACUGAGUUUGAGCUAAACAUUGUUGUAUAUGAUGAAGGGCAUGAUACCAAAUUGAAGUAAAGAGCUCUUUCUAGGGGAUGCAUUAUCUGAUCUUCCUCCGGUGGAGAAUAAUGAGAAGAGGGAUGCUAUGGAAUAUGUUGAGAAACCCGGGCCUGAAUUCCAGCAGUUUAUAAGGCUUGGACUUUGAUGAGUGAUUAUCAACGUGUCUGUCACAUUCCGAAAGCCAAGGUGUCCGUGGUUUCAACCGUUUAUGGACAGAACAAGCAGCUUAAAGUGUUUAUCGACAUGGUUGACUUCUUGAGACCAAGAUUUGUUUUGAUGGAAAAUGUUGUUUUCUUGGGAGAUAUGCUUUAAGCCGGUAGGGAUGAAUUAUCAAGCUCGGCUGGGCAUGAUAGCUGUUGGAGCAUAUGGAGGGUGCCCUCCCAGGAGAGGUAGCGCCGGAGCACUUUAUCUUUCUGAACUUCUGGGUUAAGCAUGAGGAUUUCCAAAGGGUGGUGCGUGAUAGUUGGCUGGCCCCGGUUGUGGGGGCACCUAUGUUUGUAAUGGCCACCAAGCUUAACAGAUUGAGUAAGAUGCUGAGUAAGUGGAGUAGGACAGUAUUCAGGGACAUUUUUGCUAAACUCCGGGAAUAUGAGGAUAGUGUCUAGACUCUUGAGGCUAUUUUGCAAUAGCACCCAGACGAUGAGCAUGCUUUAAUAGAAUAUAAAAAGGGUGUUGCGCUUUUACAAAAAACAAAUUGCAAUUAAAGAAGAGUUUUGGUAACAGAAGACGCGCGUUAUCGAGGUCCAGGAGGGUGAUAGGAACUCAUGCUACUUUCACUCUACUGUUAAGGAACGCAGGCGCAAGUUGUUUAUUCACAGAGUUAAAAAUGACGCAGGAGUUUGGCUGGAAGAUAGACAUGGGAUAGCCCAGUAGGCUGUUUCCUUUUUUGAGCACAUGUUCACUGCGGAGGUUGGGGGGUUUGACUUGGCCCGACUGGAUUGUGGCCCGCGGUUGGUUGGUUACAGAGGAGGAUAAUGAGCUACUGACGGUGGUACCAGAAGUGGAGGAAGUGAAGGCGGUGGUGAUGCAGAUGAACUCUACUAGUUCUGCUGGUCCAGAUGGGUUUUCGGGAACCUUUUAUAAGGCUUGCUGGGAUAUUAUUCAGGAGGAUGUAGUCAGCAUGGUUCGGGGCUACUUUUCAGGACGGGAAUUCACCAAAGCUAUCACGCACACAUCCAUUGUUCUGUUGCCGAAGAAGCCAAAUCCGGAAACCUUUGCAGAUUACAAGCCGAUCAAGGGAAACUCUUUCCCUUCCUAAA